rnacentral:miRNA from 61 species
UUCCCUUUGUCAUCCUAUGCCU